GGGAGUAAAAGUCGUAACAAGGUUUCCGUAGGUGAACCUGCGGAAGGAUCAUUAUUGAAUGAAACACUUCUGGCUUUAUGCUGUUGUGCUGGCCCUUUGGGCAAUGUGCACACGGCUCUGGUCACUUGUUUCUUCUGUUCCACCUGUGCACUGCCUGUAGACACGCUGUGUCUAUGAUAUUUGUUAACACACAACAAUGUUAGUUGGCAUGUUAUAUAUAAUAAUAAAAUAUACAACUUUCAACAACGGAUCUCUUGGCUCUC
rnacentral:misc_RNA from 1 species